UUCAUGGUUGCAAAUCGCAUUUGAUAUAUGA
rnacentral:piRNA from 1 species